rnacentral:rRNA from 1 species
UACGAAGGGGGCUAGCGUUGCUCGGAAUUACUGGGCGUAAAGCGCACGUAGGCGGCUUUCUAAGUCGGGGGUGAAAUCCUGGAGCUCAACUCCAGAACUGCCUUCGAUACUGGAGAGCUCGAGUCCGGGAGAGGUGAGUGGAACUGCGAGUGUAGAGGUGAAAUUCGUAGAUAUUCGCAAGAACACCAGUGGCGAAGGCGGCUCACUGGCCCGGGUACUGACGCUGAGGUGCGAAAGCGUGGGAGCAAACAGGAUUGAGAUAC